AAGAUACAGUACCACUCAUGGGUCGAUCAGCCAUAUUGGGUGACCAAAGGAAUAACUAUUUCUGUGAUGUAGCUUGUGGGAAAGCGGAUUCCGCUGAUAGUACAUAUGUAAUUACUAGGUCAGGACUGCUCUGCGAAUUCAAUAAUAGAAGACUUUUAGAUAAAUGGGUAGAAUUAAGGACUUCAAGUGCCAACUGUAUUACUGUAGGUGAGAAAUAUAUUUUUGUGGGAUGUGCCGAGGGUAUUAUUAGGUGUUUUGAUCCUGCAACGCUUAGAUUUGUUACAACUCUUCCUAGAAAUCACUAUUUGGGUGUAGAUGUUAGUCUCGGAACAAGCAUACAACAUAUGGCUACACCACCACCCGAUGCCAAAUA